rnacentral:rRNA from 1 species
UACGUAGGGUGCAAGCGUUAAUCGGAAUUACUGGGCGUAAAGCGUGCGCAGGCGGUGAUGUAAGACAGUUGUGAAAUCCCCGGGCUCAACCUGGGAACUGCAUCUGUGACUGCAUCGCUGGAGUGCGGCAGAGGGGGAUGGAAUUCCGCGUGUAGCAGUGAAACGCGUAGAUAUGCGGAGGAACACCGAUGGCGAAGGCAAUCCCCUGGGCCUGCACUGACGCUCAUGCACGAAAGCGUGGGGAGCAAACAGG